rnacentral:lncRNA from 1 species
GCCAGGAAAAGGCAAUCAUCUGCAAAUAACAAUUGGAAAAUUGAUCGAGCUCCCUAUGCUAGACAAUAAGUGUCCAAGGCCUGGUUCAUACAAGUGGCACACAAAGCAAGAGAUAGGUUGUCAACAUAAGUAAUGAAAAAAUAGGAGGAUAUGAGACAACUUUGGCGAAGGCCAAUUGAGGAGUGGAAGUAGGUAGACGAUGUGCUGUUGAUCAAAAUAGAGAAGAAAGGGGCCUGAAUGCAGCUCAAUAUCCAUAUAAUCCACACCUCAUGAAACCCAAAGCUCUCUAAAGCACCACAAAGGAAUCACCAAUAGACUAUCAUAGGUUUUCUCCAUAUC